ACUAUUUUGGGAUAAUUUUAGGACCAUUUCGGGCUUGGUUUAGGACCAUUUUGUAACUUGUGGGGGACUAAUUCGGGACCAGUUUUGAACAAAUUCAGGAAAAUUGUUGGUCUAGUUUUAAAAUGUUUACAGCCAUUUUGGGACUAGUUCGCGAUCAUUUUGGGACUACUAAAGGACCAUUUCGGGACCGUUUUACGACUUUUCCGGCAUUUUCGGGCCAAUUUAGAACUAUUCCGGCAUAAUUUCGGGACUGGUUGAGGACAAUUUCGGGAUAGAGCUCGACUAUUUCAACACCUUUUUAUGACUAGUUCAGUAAAAUUUCGGACCUAAUAAGGGUCAUUUCGGGACUGUCUCAAGUCUUGUUUGAAAUCAUUACGGGACAAGUUUACGAUUCUUUCAGAACCACCUCAGGACAAUUAUUGGACUAUUUAUUACGGGAACAUUACGAGACAAUUCGAAACUAGACCUAGAAGUUCAAAGUUACCAACUUAGGAUCAAUACAGACACAAUUUUUAAUCUCUAAAUUCUGGAAAUCUCGGCAAAUCGGGUAUAGUUUCCAAAAUCUGUUUUGGUAGAAGCGAAUUUAUAUAAGCGAUGAUAGGACCACAAGUCUUAAAUGAUAUUAUUUGUAUAUAUUUAAUUCUCUUUCUAGAAAAUACAACAUUAACUCAUCGAAUAAUUCAAGGCAAUCGACCCAAGAAAGCGGGCAUAGUGAUUCAUAUUUAGAAAAUGCAAUAUUUUUGGUUUGUGUCCCCAGCGUGUCCUGCGAUUUCCUUUUUUUUGCUUGAACUUUAACACAUUUUACUUUUAUUAUUUUAUUUGUGAAAAACUAUCAAGGAAGUUGGCUUUCAUGCACGAGAGAUCGUCUGCAAGUCAAGACUUUUUUAUUGAAAUAUUUUAUUUAAGCAAUUAAGUUCAUCUCCUUUCGAUUUUAACCGGAGCAAACUUAUGAAAUAAAAAUAUGAAACCUCGCACUUUUCUUUGAAUUCCAUCAGCCAACCAACCUAUCUCGCAUGUAUUUUUAUCAUUAAAAAAAUUAAUUUUUUGCAUAAAUUUAGGGUUCGCAACAAUUUACAAAUAAUGGAAAAAAUAUUAUAGAAUAGAAUAGUUUAAGUGUUAGCGUACUGUAACUAGCUUAUACAUAUAGAUAAAUACGUAGUAUAAAAUAUUUAUUAUUUAAUUCCCUGUUAGAGUUUAGUUCAAAUUCUAGCGAAGUAUAAUGCUGUACAUAUAGCGGUAAUAAAGUUAUAAAUAAUUGUGUAGUAAGCAGCGUUUUAGUAAGUAGUAAAACAAAUACAAAACGAGCACAGAAACUCACCGCUGCAAUUCACAGCACGCAAAAAAAGUUGUAAUCAAAUGAAAAUUAACCGACAUAAUAUCAAACAUCAUCGAAAAUAUUUAAAAAAAAAAAUUAUGUAAAAUCUAUAUGUGUAUGUAGUGAUAAGUGAAAACGAUUGGUAAUGAUUGGUAUUAACGAAAAUUGCAUAAAUUGAAUGAAGACUUUCAGCUAAAACGAAGGGGGAAUAAUUGUACGAAUUGCAGUUACUAUAAAAAAUGCCUAGAAGAAGUACAUACAUACAUAAAUACAUAAUUAAGUAGUAAAUGUGGUAAUUGAAUAGUUAAUUUAAACUGAUGUAGCAUAAAAGACAUUGUACGCUGUCACAUUUAAGUAAAUUAUAUUAAGUAUACACAUACUUCAUAUGAAUAAAAACAAGUAAUUACAUACUACAUUAAAUAGUUGAUAUUAUAUUUUAACGAAAAAAAAUGAUGAUAUUAAAAGAAAUAUACUAUAUGAAAUAAUAAAAAAACUAAAAGAAAAAA